rnacentral:rRNA from 1 species
ACGGAAGGCAGCAGUGAGGAAUAUUGGUCAAUGGGCGGGAGCCUGAACCAGCCAAGUAGCGUGAGGGAUGACUGCCCUACGGGUUGUAAACCUCUUUUGUUUGGGAAUAAAGGAGCCUACGUGUAGGCUUUUGCAUGUACCUUUCGAAUAAGCAUCGGCUAAUUCCGUGCCAGCAGCCGUGGUAAUACGGAAGAUGCGAGCGUUAUCCGGAUUUAUUGGGUUUAAAGGGAGCGUAGGCGGCCUUUUAAGUCUGCGGUCAAAUGUCAGGGCCCAACCUUGGCAUGCCGUGGAUACUGAUGGGCUCGAAUACACGCAAGGCAAGUGGAAUUCGUCGUGUAGCGGUGAAAUGCUUAGAUAUGACGAAGAACUCCGAUUGCGAAGGCAGCUUACUGGAGUGCGAUUGACGCUGAGGCUCGAAAGUGCGGGAAUCAAACAGGAUUAGAUACCCUGGUA